AUGGGGUGCAGCAGGCGCGAAACCUUCACAAUGUGCGAAAGCACGAUGAGGGGAUCCCAAGUGCUUGCUCGUAAGAGUAAGCUGUUUUUAUGUCUAAAAAGCAUAGAGAGUAAGGGCUGGGUAAGACGGGUGCCAGCCGCCGCGGUAAUACCUGCAGCUCAAGUGGUGACCACUAUUAUUGGGCCUAAAACGUUCGUAGCCGGUUUGGUAAAUGCCUGGGUAAAUCGUGUAGCUUAACUAUACGAAUUCCGGGUAGACUGCCAAACUUGAGACCGGGAGAAGCUAGAGGUACUCCUGGGGUAGAGGUGAAAUUCUGUAAUCCUGGGGGGACCACCAGUGGCGAAGGCGUCUAGCUAGAACGGGUCUGACGGUGAGGAACGAAGCCCUGGGGCGCAAACCGGAUUAGAUACCCGGGUAGUCCAGGGUGUAAACGCUGCUUGCUUGAUGUUAGUUGGGCUCCGAGCCCAAUUAGUGUCGGAGAGAAGUUGUUAAGCAAGCUGCCUGGGAAGUACGAUCGCAAGAUUGAAACUUAAAGGAAUUGGCGGGGGAGCAC
rnacentral:rRNA from 1 species